rnacentral:rRNA from 1 species
UACGUAGGUGACCAGCGUUGUCCGGAUUUACUGGGCGUAAAGAGCGCGCAGGCGGUCGUUCACGUCGAGUGUGAAAGCCCCCGGCUCAACUGGGGAGGGUCAUUCGAUACUGAUCGACUUGAAGGCAGGAGAGGGAAGUGGAAUUCCCGGUGUAGUGGUGAAAUGCGUAGAUAUCGGGAGGAACACCAGUGGCGAAGGCGACUUCCUGGCCUGUUCUUGACGCUGAGGCGCGAAAGCUAGGGGAGCAAACGGG